rnacentral:rRNA from 1 species
AUUGAACGCUGGCGGCAGGCCUAACACAUGCAAGUCGAGCGGAGGAAGGGAGCUUGCUCCUGGAUUCAGCGGCGGACGGGUGAGUAAUGCCUAGGAAUCUGCCUGGUAGUGGGGGAUAACGUCCGGAAACGGGCGCUAAUACCGCAUACGUCCUGAGGGAGAAAGUGGGGGAUCUUCGGACCUCACGCUAUCAGAUGAGCCUAGGUCGGAUUAGCUAGUUGGUGGGGUAAAGGCCUACCAAGGCGACGAUCCGUAACUGGUCUGAGAGGAUGAUCAGUCACACUGGGACUGAGACACGGUCCAGACUCCUACGGGAGGCAGCAGUGGGGAAUAUUGGACAAUGGGCGAAAGCCUGAUCCAGCCAUGCCGCGUGUGUGAAGAAGGUCUUCGGAUUGUAAAGCACUUUAAGUUGGGAGGAAGGGCAGUAAGUUAAUACCUUGCUGUUUUGACGUUACCAACAGAAUAAGCACCGGCUAACUUCGUG